GCCUAAUACAUGCAAGUCGAACGGAGCACUCGGUGCUAGUGGCGAACGGGUGAGUAAUAUAUGAACAACCUACCCCGUUGACCGGGAUAACACACUGAAAAGCGUGCUAAUACCGGGAUAGGCGAUCGAGAGGCAUCUCUUGAUUAUUAAAGGAGCGCAGUGCUCCACAUUGGGAUGGGUUCAUAUCGCAUUAGCUAGUUGGUGAGGUAACGGCCCACCAAGGCGAUGAUGCGUAGCCGAUCUGAGAGGAUGACCGGCCACAUUGGGACUGAGACACGGCCCAGACUCCUACGGGAGGCAGCAGUAGGGAAUUUUCGGCAAGUGGGCGCAAGCCUGACCGAGCAACGCCGCGUGAACGAUGAAGGUCUUUAAUGGAUUGUAAAGUUCUGUUACGAGGGAAGAACAGCACUGAUAGGAAAUGAUCAGUGUGUGACGGUACCUCGCCAGAAAGCCACGGCUAACUACGUGCCAGCAGCAGC
rnacentral:rRNA from 1 species